CAAUAGCGUAUAUUAAAGUUGUUGCAGUUAAAAAGCUCGUAGUUGGACCUUGGACCUGGACAGGCGGUCCGCCUCACGGCGAGUACUGUCUUGCUGGGUCUUUCCUCUUGGUGAUCUGUUGUUUCGGCAGCAGGGAACCAGGACCUUUACUUUGAAAAAAUUAGAGUGUUCAAAGCAGGCUCGACGCCGGAAUAUAUUAGCAUGGAAUAAUAAAAUAGGACGUGCGGUUCUAUUUUGUUGGUUUUUGGAAUCGCCGUAAUGAUUAAUAGGGACAGUCGGGGGCAUUAGUACUCACAUGCUAGAGGUGAAAUUCUUGGAUUUUGUGAAGACUAACUUCUGCGAAAGCAUUUGCCAAGGAUGCUUUCAUUAA
rnacentral:rRNA from 1 species